rnacentral:misc_RNA from 1 species
UAAAUAAAGUAAUCAUGAUUACAUAAUUUUUUUGCUAAAACUUGUAUUUAUUCGUUAUAAUAGUUUUGGCUGCUAUGGUUAGCUAAAAUAAAAAUCACAAUGCAAAUAAUAUAUUGGGAAGUAGCCUUACAAUUUUAAGAUUUGGGCAGGAAAAAAAAAUGAUUUUACUUUCUUUAAUAGCAUCAUCAUAAUGCAACAAAGACAUGCAAUUUUUUUCUUUUUUUUUGG